UACCAGCACCCCGAGUGGUCGGGACGAUUAUUGGGCCUAAAGCAUCCGUAGCCGGUUUUACAAGUCCUCCGUUAAAUCCAGCUGCUUAACAGAUGGGCUGCGGAGGAUACUAUAAGACUAGGAGGCAGGAGAGGCAAGCGGUACUCAGUGGGUAGGGGUAAAAUCCGUUGAUCCAUAGAAGACCACCAGUGGCGAAGGCGGCUUGCCAGAACGCGCUCGACGGUGAGGGAUGAAAGCUGGGGGAGCAAACCGG
rnacentral:rRNA from 1 species